CUCCUCUCAGGGCCAUACCUGGAGAGUUUACUCUACCAGGCUUGGCUAAGGGAGGGAGAGUCAAGCAGAGGUCUACCCAUUCCAUUCUUAGCUUGGCCAGUGGCUAGUGAGUGGAAGGCAAUCUGCUACAAGU